UCUUUCAAAAUGAAUUUUAAAUUUUCAUCACUUAUUUUAUUACUCACAUUGUUGGCAGUCAUCGCAAAUGUCAAUGCAAAUUACCUUUCGGCCGCAUGUUCCACAUUAUUACCGGAUGAAUGUUCCGCAUUAUUACAUGAAGAUUAGGAUACUCCUUAA